CUCCUACUCCCUCCGUCCGAAAAAGCUUGUCCCUCAAAUGGAUGUAUCUAGCACUAGCACCAAGUUAGUGCUAGAUACAUCCGUUUGAGGAACAAGCUUGGGACAAGCUUUUUCGCACUGAGGGAGUACAUG
rfam:Triticum aestivum genome assembly, contig: Triticum_aestivum_CS42_TGACv1_scaffold_556203_7AL